AGCGGAUGCUGGUGGAGGGGCGGACCAUUGCGGCGCUUCUGCCGCUGCCGCCACAGGGUGCGCGGGGGUUGAUGGCCUUCCGUGGGCUUC
rnacentral:tRNA from 1 species